rnacentral:lncRNA from 1 species
UAUAUCUUCAUUUCAUGUUAAGGCUCUUCUUAAAAAUAAUUUUUCUUUGUUAUAUGUUAAGGUUAAUUGUGUAUGUUCUAUAUUAUAUGGUUUUACUUGUUCUAACCAUUUUAUUCCUAAUAUUAUAUCUGCUUUUUGCAUUUCUUCCUUUACUUCGAAUUCUAUUUUUAUUUUUCUAACUCCUAUUAUUAUUUCUUUUUCUGCUAUAUUUUUA